rnacentral:misc_RNA from 1 species
UAAACAGCUAUUCACUAGUUUCCACAC